UCUAAUUAAGUUGUCCUGCGGCGAAGAUGUAACGGGGCUCAAGCCAUGAGCCGAAACUUCGGAUGCAUUUAUGCAUGGUAGCGGAGCGUAGUGUGACAUAGUUCCAUGCGUCUUUAACUUCCUUCGGGGAGUAUUGGACGCAAGGAGCUUUCUGUGAAGCCGGCCUGUGAGGGAUCCGGUGGAGAGAUCACUAGUGAGAAUGAUGACAUGAGUAGCGACAAAGGGAGUGAGAGACUCCCUCGCCGAAAAUCCAAGGGUUCCUGCUUAAAGCUAAUCUGAGCAGGGUGAGCCGACCCCUAAGGCGAGGCCGAAAGGCGUAGUCGAUGGGAACCAGGUUAAUAUUCCUGGGCCAGAUGGAAGUGACGGAUCUCGAGGGUAGUUCAUCCUUAUCGGAUUGAAUGGGCUGCUUAGAGGUUCCUGGAAAUAGCUCCAUCGCUAGAUCGUACCCUAAACCGACACAGGUGGACUGGUAGAGAAUACCAAGGCGCUUGAGAGAACUAUGUUGAAGGAACUCGGCAAAAUACCUCCGUAAGUUCGCGAGAAGGAGGCCCGGUUUCUAGGCAACUGGAAGCUGGGGGCACAAACCAGGGGGUGGCGACUGUUUACUAAAAACACAGGGCUCUGCGAAGUCGUAAGACGACGUAUAGGGUCUGACGCCUGCCCGGUGCCUGAAGGUUAAAAGGAGGGGUGAGAGCUCCGAAUUGAAGCCCAGGUAAACGGCGGCCGUAACUAUAACGGUCCUAAGGUAGCGAAAUUCCUUGUCGGGUAAGUUCCGACCUGCACGAAUGGCGUAACGACUUCCCCGCUGUCUCCAACAUAGACUCAGUGAAAUUGAAUUGCCUGUCAAGAUGCAGGCUUCCCGCGGUUAGACGGAAAGACCCCGUGCACCUUUACUACAACUUUACACUGAUAACAGGCACAAUAUGUGCAGAAUAGGUGGUAGGCUUUGAAGCAGGGACGCCAGUCCUUGUGGAGCCUCCUUUGAGAUACCACCCUUAUUUUUCUUGUUAUCUAACUGCGGUCCGUUAUCCGGAUCCAGGACCCUGUAUGGUGGGUAGUUUGACUGGGGCGGUCGCCUCCUAAAGCGUAACGGAGGCGCGCGAAGGUUGGCUCAGAGCGGUCGGAAAUCGCUCGUUGAGUGCAAUGGCAGAAGCCAGCCUGACUGCGAGACUGACAAGUCGAGCAGAGUCGAAAGACGGCCAUAGUGAUCCGGUGGUCCCGAGUGGAAGGGCCAUCGCUCAACGGAUAAAAGGUACGCCGGGGAUAACAGGCUGAUACUGCCCAAGAGUCCAUAUCGACGGCAGUGUUUGGCACCUCGAUGUCGGCUCAUCUCAUCCUGGGGCUGGAGCAGGUCCCAAGGGUACGGCUGUUCGCCGUUUAAAGAGGUACGUGAGCUGGGUUUAGAACGUCGUGAGACAGUUCGGUCCCUAUCUGCCGUGGGUGUAGGAUACUUGAGAGGAGUUGCCCCUAGUACGAGAGGACCGGGGUGAACGAUCCACUGGUGGACCAGUUGUCGACUACGGCAGUGCUGGGUAGCUAUGAUCGGACAGGAUAACCGCUGAAAGCAUCUAAGCGGGAAGCCCCCCUCAAAACAAGGUAUCCCUGAGGACCGAGGUAGACCACCUCGUCGAUAGGCCAGAGGUGUAAGCGUGGUAACACGUUCAGCUGACUGGUACUAAUGGUCCGAUAGGCUUGAUU
rnacentral:rRNA from 1 species